rnacentral:rRNA from 1 species
AUUGAACGCUGGCGGCAGGCCUAACACAUGCAAGUCGAACGAGUGGCGGACGGGUGAGUAAUGUCUGGGAAACUGCGCGAUGGAGGGGGAUAACUACUGGAAAAGGUAGCUAAUACCGCUUACAAUCGGAUGUGCCCACGUGGGAUUAGCUAGUAGGUGGGGGAAUGGCUCACCUAGGCGCCGAUCCCUAGCUGGGCUGAGAGGAUGACCGGCCACACUGGAACUGAGACACGGUCCAGACUCCUACGGGAGGCAGCAGUGGGGAAUAUUGCACAAUGGGCGAAAGCCUGAUGCAGCCAUGCCGCGUGUAUGAAGAAGGCCUUCGGGUUGUAAAGUACUUUCAGCGAGGAGGCGUUACUCGCAGAAGAAGCAACGGCUAACUCCGUGCCAGCAGCCGCGGUAAUUC